UCCAUCGUGAGGUGGAAUCUGAAGGAAGCUGGAGGCAAAAUCCUGGCCUGACGUACAGGAACUACAUAUAAGGCCAAAGUUGUCUGGAUAAAGUUACACAACAAACCGAAGUCCAACACUGCUCGGAGACAACAUGGUAAAUGUAGCAGGUAGAUGGGAUGAAAGAUAUCGUU
rfam:Arenibacter sp. C-21 DNA, contig: C21_contig0061.